CAAAAUGCAAAUGCAUGAGCAUGGGAGUUAGUGUCAUUUCCCCAUCCUUGGAAGCAUCGGUAGCAGCCAGCGGGAGCAGCAGAGUGGACCAGCCCGGAUCCAAGGGAAGCAGUGGCUGAGUGGGACAGCACCAGCCUGUGCUGUGACUUCGCUAGCUCUUCACAGGAGACUGGCUAAUGUAAAGAGCAUAAUUUUGAAACUGAAAAAGCAGACCAGCUCCCGUUGGAGAAUCCUUGCCCUAAGCUACAGGAGACCUUAAGAUGUGGCAAAUUGGUGGUGCUUCAGCAUGCCCCAAUUCAGGGUGCUUUUUACCCAGAUGAGUUUAUUGCUCCAUCUUGGCUAGGCAAGGACAUCAGAAAGGGCGAUUGGAAGGAGACAGCGGUCAGGUCAGAGAGAGCCUCAGGACGGCAGCAACUGUGAGCUGAGCAACCCAAGGGGACUUUCUUCUGCAUCUGUGGUUCAUCUCUGCCUGUGCUGGUGAAGACCAAGAACAAAACAAAGACAGUACCUGAAAUGUGAAACUUUCUGGUAUCUUGGAAGAAAUGAGUUUCUUUGUUGAAAACUGUGCAGCACAGUUGCAUGUGUGAGUGCAUAUUACAUGUAUAAUACUAAUAACAAAACAUCGAGAGAAAGCUGCUUAAUCCCCCUUCUGCUCCCAUGAGACUCUUCUGGGGGAACAUCCAGUUUUGGAAUAUGUGGAACUAAAUGCAGAAUGGAUAUGUAUAUCCACGGAGGCUGAGCUCAGCCCAGAAUCCCCUGGAUUAAAGGCUGGAUGUAAUUUUCAUUGUUCAUGCUUUGCACAACUGUCUACUGUAUUUCAAAUCCCAUGUUAUCCACUUGCAGUUCAUGAGUGAAAGAUACGACUGGAUGUGUCUGGACAGAUGCUACACUGUACAGUGCUCCGCUGAGAAAAUGGCUUUGCUGCUUGAGGCUUGGGUCAUAGGAUCCUAUUUUCAGCAAGCACUAAAAAAUUAUUUACAUGUAGGAAUGUCACAGAACCUCUUUUUAUGAUCUCAGCAUGUGACUGAAUGAGUUACAAAUAGCAAUUCUCAAUGUCAUGGAAGUUACUGAAGCCAGUGAGACAUCUUUACUUGAAGGAAAACGAUGUAAGUAAAGGUGUGCUGAAUCACGGCUCUGGGAAUUAGCCUGGUAAAACAGAGAAGGUCCCUCCAGGCACACAGUGCUUUGUGCUAUUGUAUAAAUUUUUUUCUAAAACAUGACUGUGUCAAAUAUGCCUAAAAAAAAAAGUAAUUGGAAAAUCCUGGUUAGGCACUUUGUGUGUCAUCUGCCAAUGCAGGGCUGUGCAGGCAGACAUGGAAUUCCGAAGCCAUAGGAAUUGAGGUGCACAAGACAAAUCUUAUUUUAAAAAUCAACUUUCUAUUUCCAAACUCAUCUCCAGUCUUCUGAUUUUAUUUUAUUUUUUAAUUUAUAUCUGAAAGCAUUUGCUCUCCUUGGUGUUUUCUUUGGUAUUUCAAAAGCAUCCAGCUGGAAUUCGCAACUACCUUUAUCUAAGACCCUCAUUGCAGUCUGGUUGGGCAUGUCCUUUAGUUAAACAAAUAAACCCUGCAAUGUUUGGGAAUGAAGGAACAUCAGAUGUCAGAGGCAGCUUCAUGUUCUGGAGAAACUUUUUUUGAGGUGUUUAAAAACCGUGUCCUGCCAGUGGGAGGAUGUCAGCAGAGUUCCUGAUGAGUGCAGGUGCCUGUGACUCCUCUGUGGUUAGGAAAUUAAGAAACACAGCAAAGCCAAACCAUUUUCUGCCUUAGCAACUCAUCCCAAGUGCAAGAAGUAGAGAUUUCCUUCAGGUUACACAGUUACUUACUCUCCAGUCAACCAAUUAGUGCCAGACAAGGCAGUGACAUCUGGAUUUGGUUAGUAGAGCAUUAGCCGUUCAUUGGGAUGUUUUGACUGGACUCUUCAAUGGGAUUUAUUGUACUUUAUAGUUGUUUAUUUUCCAAUCAGAGUCAGCCUUUAAUUCAAGAUUGCUGCUUCAGCCCCUUCUGAGUGAAAAGAAACACAAAGAAAGAGUCUCCUCUGACUCUUAGGUAGAGAGGGUUUCUCAGCAAUUAUACACAGGCUUAAAACACCAGAGGGCAGACAAAGUAAACAGGGUGCUUACUGCCCACUGAUCAGCAGAGCUGAGGUGGCAAGAGGAUGAGGCAUGGUGGCAACCGAGCAGGUAUGUCUGAAAAUACAUCUGGCACUUCUUGCUUUAAAAAUAAAGGUUAUUCAUCUGAAGCGGGAAGAAAAUACAAAAAGUGGUUUCUGCAUUUAGGCUUGGCUACAGAAUAGCUCCAGCAGAAGCAAGAACAGCGUGCUCACACCUCUGUGACCCUCAGACCCCACACCUCCAAGAGCCAAAAUUCAGCAUCUGUAAACCUCCCUCUCACCUGCAGAGGUGGCUUCCAGGGAAGCGUACUUUGUCAGUGAGAUGAUGUUUUUGUCGUGGGUUCUCUCUUUGGGGUUGGAAUGAAUUCUAAAAGGCAUUUUGCUUGUUCAGACCAGGGAGCUUCCAUCACUUGCAGUGGUGAUGAACACAGGCCGCAUUCACUUGACCUGAUGGUGGCAUCUGGCUCCAUUUGAUCGGCUGGGUGAGCACCCUCGCUCUCCUGUGUGUAAGGUGGCCGGCAGGCGCCCACCCAGCCAGCCUGCAGGAGGCCUAGGCGCAGGAGGCUUUAUUUCCCUGAAUGGAAAUCAGUUUCUCGGAGGCACACCUGGUAUUCCUCAAAAUCCCAGCACUACCUCAUUGCCUCACCAUAAAAUAGCUAAGUGCAACCGAGGAGCAAUUGCACGGUGUCCUCCAGCCUACACAAACAGCCGUAACUCUGGGGCUCUCCAAGAAGAUGUUGGCACACUGGUGAGGUGUCCCGUGCUGCUGAUGGAUGGAGCAGCAGGUCCUCAGUGAAGCCCCCACCCAUGCACCAUGGCCAGCCGGCAGACCUCCGCCAAUGCUUCCCCUCGUUCAGCAAGCCCCAGGAGCUGCACAAGUCUCAUUCAGCACAGUUUGGCAGACCUUCAGACUUACCUCCAGCCAAAAACCAUGCAGCUGCAGACUCACCAUGGCUACCUAGAAUCCACCAGGAUAACAGCACUCUCGACUUGUUUAUUGCCCAGCUCUACUUGUUCUAUUUUUUAUUUUUUAAUAUUUUCUGGACCAAAGUCCAGCAAAAGUGCAUGUGUCUAUGCUGACCACAUUUCAGUUCCUAAUUCUAAUUGGACAGAAAACUGGGAUUGUUUUUAUCCCCUCUUCCCUCCUUCCUUCCUUCCUUCCUUCCUUCCUUCCUUCCUUCCUUCCUUCCUUCCUU